rnacentral:rRNA from 1 species
UUGUAAUUUGGAGAAGGUGCUUCGGAAGAGAUGAUGGUCCAAGUACCUUGGAACAGGUCGUCGCAGAGGGUGAGAAUCCCGUAUGUGACCAAUCAUCGAUUCCAUGUGAAGCCCUUUCGACGAGUCGAGUUGUUUGGGAAUGCAGCUCUAAGUGGGUGGUAAAUUCCAUCUAAAGCUAAAUAUCUGCCAGAGACCGAUAGCGCACAAGUAGAGUGAUCGAAAGAUGAAAAGCACUUUGAAAAGAGAGUCAAACAGUACGUGAAAUUGUUGAAAGGGAAGCGUUUGCAAUCAGACUCGUUUGCAGAAGCUCAGCCCUCUUUCGGGAUGGUGUAUUCUUCUGUCAAUGGGCCAGCAUCAGUUUCGGCGGUUGGAUAAAGACUUUGGGAACGUAGCUCUCUUCGGAGAGUGUUAUAGCCCGGAGUGUAAUGCAGCUAGCUGAGACUGAGGUCCGCGCUUUUGCUAGGAUGCUGGCGUAAUGGUUGCUAGCGACCCGUCUUGAAACACGGACCAGUAAGUUCCUUACUAUCGAUAAUAUUGAACCCAUGCUAAUGGCUAUGCAGAGGAGUCGACCAAUGACGCGAGUGUUUGGGUGUCAAACCCAUGCGCGCAAUGAAAGUGAACGCAGGUGGGACCUUCGGGGCACCAUCGACCGAUCUUGAUGUCUUCGGAUGGAUUUGAGUAUGAGCAUUUUUGGUCGGACCCGAAAGGUAGAUUCCCUUAUUCUCUUGCUAAGCAAUUAUUAAUGUUCUUCUAGAUGGUGAACUAUGCGUGGAUAGGGUGAAGCCAGAGGAAACUCUGGUGGAGGCUCGCAGCGGUUCUGACGUGCAAAUCGAUCGUCAAAUCUGCGCAUAGGGGCGAAAGGUAAGAGAUUAAAGACUGAAUUUAAUUGGCUUUAGAACACUAACAUCAUCUUAGACUAAUCGAACCGUCUAGUAGCUGGUUCCUGCCGAAGUUUCCCUCAGGAUAGCAGCAACGAAUAUAGCAGUCUCAUGAGGUAGAGCAACGAUUAGAGGCCUUGGGGGUUAUUGACCCUUAACCUAUUCUCGAACUUCGAAUAUGUGAGAAGUCCUUGUUACUUAAUUGAA